ACGUAGGCAGCAAACGUUGUUCGGAGUUACUGGGCGUAAAGAGUGCGUAGGCGGUUUGCCAAGUUUGGUGUGAAAUCUCCUGGCUUAACUGGGAGGGUGCGCCGAAUACUGGCAGGCUUGAGUGUUGGAGAGGGGAGCGGAAUUCCUGGUGUAGCGGUGAAAUGCGUAGAUAUCAGGAGGAACACCGGUGGUGUAGACGGCUCCCUGGACAACCACUGACGCUGAGGCACGAAAGCGUGGGUAGCAAACAGGAUUAGAUACCCUGGUAGUCCACGCCCUAAACGAUGCAAACUUGGUGUAGGCAGUUCAGUCUGUCUGUGCCGGAGCUAACGCGUUAAGUUUGCCGCCUGGGGAGUACGGUCGCAAGGCUG
rnacentral:rRNA from 1 species